rnacentral:rRNA from 1 species
ACCUGGUUGAUCCUGCCAGUAGUCAUAUGCUUGUCUCAAAGAUUAAGCCAUGCAUGUCUAAGUCCAUGCCGUGUUAAGGCGAAACCGCGAAUGGCUCAUUAAAUCAGUUAUGGUUCCUUGGAUCGUACCUCACUACUUGGAUAACUGUGGCAAUUCUAGAGCUAAUACAUGCAGCAGAGCUCCGACCUUCGGGAACGAGCGCUUUUAUUAGACCAAAACCAAUCGGGCCUCCGGGUCCGUUUACCGUGGUGACUCUGUAUAACUUUGGGCUGAUCGCACGGGCUCGUCCCGGCGACGUAUCUUUCAAGUGUCUGCCUUAUCAACUGUCGAUGGUAGGUUAUGCGCCUACCAUGGUCGUAACGGGUGACGGGGAAUCAGGGUUCGAUUCCGGAGAGGGAGCCUGAGAAACGGCUACCACAUCCAAGGAAGGCAGCAGGCGCGCAAAUUACCCACUCCCGGAACGGGGAGGUAGUGACGAAAAAUAACAAUACACAA